rnacentral:lncRNA from 1 species
UCUUAGGGGUACUAAGUGUGGUGGCCAGUGGGGCAGAGCCGGUGGUACCCAUGAGGAAGCAGACAGGUGAAGCUUUAGGCUUUUCUGUCACACUGUGGUCUUCUGACAAGGAGCCCCUCACUCAGCAGAUACUAAGGUCGCUGUAUUAACAAAGUUCUUUGACUCAUAAAAUCAUGGGCUCCAUGUUCCCACCACUGGGACAAUUGGUACGUGUCCCAGUGUGUGGAGAAGCAUACAUGCGCUCUCCUGGCCCGAUCAAUCAGGGUCAUCUUUCUCUUACUGCCUCUGUACCUAUGCCGCAGUCCCAGCCACCAACUGCCCCCAGACCUUCCCAGACCUUUCUUCUUCAAAUAGUCACCUGCUCUACCCCCCUCCUCCCCUUCUCUUCCCUCUUUUCACUUUCUUGAUAAAACAUCACAACUUUUCUUAAAUCUUCAUUGCUGUCCCUGUGUCCUCAAUUUAGAAUUUAAACUCUAUGAGGGUGAGGGCUUGUCUGGUUUUAUUCUGGUGUGUGUGUGUGUUGCUUUAAGCCCAGUUAACUAGGUCAUUUUGCUUACUUGGUAAUCUUUAGAAACUGUUGGAUUUCAGUCUGGAAAUGACCAUCCAUCCUCUUGUCACCUUUACUUGAUGUCAGCACCAACCCUGAGGGUCUUCCAUCCUGAGUGUUGUGCAAGCUCCGGGGUUGCCCACCUCCUCAGAUCUACCCCUCUUCUCAGUAAUUGUUAGUUAUCUAUGCCUGUGAGUACCUAUAAUAGAUCUAGGAGAUAAGAUAGUUGAAAACUUGGCUUUGCUCUGCUAACACUGCUUUGCUUAGCACAGAUCCCAGAUACAAAGCCUUCCCUGGUAUCCUCAGGAGGGUUCUUUCCAGGACCACCCCCUUUUAGAUGCCAAAAUCCAUAGACUGUCAAGUCUCUUAUGUAAAAUGGUGUAGUUAGUAUUUGCAUAUAACUGCACAUAUCUUCCUGCAUACCUCUCUGGGUUACUUAGGGAGGCAAUGCGAUGCAAAUGCUAUGCAAAUAAUCUUUGUGCGAUAUUGUCCAGGGAAUAAUGACAAGAGCAAAAUGACAGAUGUCAUUUUUUUUUUGACUUUUCCAAUAGUUUUGAUCUGAGAUUGGUUGAAUGCAUGGAUGAAAAGCCGUGGGCUCAGAGGAGUGCCUGUAGUAGUAGAAGAUACUCAGUAAAUCUCGUAUUUGCUUAUUUGCUGGCAAACAUUUUAAUGACCUGCCAUUGACAGAUUUGCCCUCAGAAGUGCUCUGGACCUUUGGAGGGUGUGCCUUCUGGGCCACAGGAUGCUGUCUACAUCAGUGGGGAAGGUACAGGUGUGAUUGUUCUGGGUUGAGACUCUCCAAGUGUCAGCUUCCAGAGUGGUCACUGCCCCCAGGGCAGAAGGAGAACACCUACUUCUUUAAAUUUCCACAGAGGGUCAGAGCACCUCCUUGAGAUCUUAAAAUACACCUCCCGGUCCUGAUGGUGUCAGGUAGCUAGUUUAUGGGUCCCGUCCUGGUUGUGAUAACUCAGGCUAAGCUGGAUAAUAAACGAAAGUGGGACAGAGCUGCAGGAUAAAUAUUGCUUCAGGGCAUCUCCAGUGGCACAAAUCACGGGGAAAAUAUCUCUCAGGCUUUUCAUUUCUCCUCUUCCUCCCUGGCCCUCUGGUAGCAGCCUGCAAAGCAGGGUCCAUCCAUCACAGAGCCCCCGCCCCCAGCCCAGCCUCUGCUCUCAGCAUCUUGCUUGCUGCAGGAGGCAGGAUGCAGAUCGCUCCUGAUGCAUCCUCCUCUCUGCCUCUCCACUCCGCUCCAGAGCGAGCCUGCGAGCCUGCGGAGCCCAGGUGGUGUGGAGAGGCAGCCUCCCCCUCUGUGGCCUUUUCUAGCUCCGGAUGUCACCUGGCUCUGCAGUGUGUUUUUCUCUAGAACCAGAGGGUAUAAUAAUUAGUGCUCCUUGAUCUGCUGUGAAUGCUCUGCCCCCGCCCCCCCCAAAUGAAAUGGCAUGCUCAGCCAGCCCACCUGAGUACAUAGAAUCUGCACCAUGAGAGUCUUCACUUGCCUUGCCUAGGUCCUGCUGACAAGCACUGUCUUCAGGGGCAAAAGGCUGUGAGGUGGGCUGUGGGUUAGGUGGAGAGACAGCAGAUUCCAGUGUACCACUCUUGUAACAGAUCCAUCAACACUGUCACUUAGGGAGGCGUUGCUCAGCUCCGGGAGCAUGCUGGCUUUGUAAUCAGUGUCAGCUUGGGUAUUGAUGGAGCCCACGGGGAAUACAAAGCUGCCUCAGGCUUGUAGCAUGGAAAGGUAACUAACCGCAAGAGGCAGGCAGGUCCAUUAACCAAGAGGGCUAGAGGUUCCCAUCCUGCUGUGCGCCUGCCUCAGAAACAUAGUAGCCGUUUUCCGCACCUGCUGACCCUAGGCUUUCUGGAAAAGUGGCUUUCUAGCCCACUUCUCCAUUCUCUUUCCCGAACAUUCCAGAAGCUUCCUAAGUAGUCCUUUCCCAUCCAGCACUGAGACUGUACCCACUGACCUGGUUAUCUGGCUACUGGUCCCUUGCCGUCCUUCAGAGAAGCUGUGCUCCCUGACCUGGUUACUGUGACUGAUUCUUUGCCAUUCUACAGAGUAGCCAUGAUCACUGACCUGGUUAUCCCAACUAGUUGUUUGCCCUCUGAUGGCUUGGUGGUCCCCACUGUCUUGGUCCCCACUGUCUUGGUUACUCAGGCCUGCUGUGUGGAGGGUGCUCAGUGCCCCUGGGGGAUUAAUUUUAGCAGCUCCUUUCCUUGUGGUCUCACCAGCACUAGAGAAUCUGACGUCCUUUUUUUUUUUUGAUUCUGUGGGCACCAGACACUCACUGGGUGCACAUACUUACAAGCAGACAAAAUAUCCAGGCUGCUCUUCUUGUGCAUUUGUGGAUCCGUUGUCAACUUUGGGACUCUGCUUUACUCUCCAAGAGUUAUUUUGUUCCCUGUUCCAGACAGAUCCCUGCUCACCCUGGUCUAGAGCAGUGGCUUCCAGGAUGGAAGAAGUCACACCUUCUUAGUUAGGCCCUUUAUUAAUACUGGAGCAUUUAUCACAUUCUUGUGCUGCUUAAAAUAUUCAGCGUUUAAACCAGGUUGGAUGGUGUACACCUUUAAUCCCAGUACUCAGGAGGCAGAUCUCUGUGAGUCUGAGGCCAGCUGGUCUACUUAGUGAGUUCUAGUACAGCCAGGGCUAUAAAGAGAGAGACAUCUUUCAAAACAACAGUAACAACAAAAUGGUUUGUUAACUUUUUUUUUUUCUGCAUUGAAAGUCUUCCCUGGAGAGAUGGCUGAGAGGGUUGCGAGCACAUACUGCUCUUGCAGAGGACCUGAGUUUGGUUCCCAGCACCCACGCAGAGGCACACAACUAUCUGUUAACUCCAGCUCUAGAGGAUCUGAUGCCCGUUUUUGAUCCUGUAGGUACCAGGCACUCAUGGGAUGCACAUACUUAAAUGCAGAUGAAACAUCCAUACGCUUG